GACGAACGCUGGCGGCGUGCUUAACACAUGCAAGUCGAGCGGCGCGGCGAACGGGUGAGGAACGCGUGAGUAACUGCCCCCCUCUCUGGGAGGACAGUUGGAAACGGCUGCUAAUACCGGAUAGUGUGGGAUGACUCGCGUCCAAUCAGCUUGUUGGUGGGGUAUUGGCAUACCAAGGCGACGACGGGUAGCCGGCCUGGGAGGGCGACCGGCCACAUUGGGCUGAGGUACGGCCCAAACUCCUACGGGGGACAGCAGUGGGGAAUAUUGCGAAAUGGGGGACACCCUGAUGCAGCAACGCCGGGUGCGGAAGGACGGGCUUCGGGUUGUAAACCGCUUUCAGCCAUGACGCGGUAGUGGCAGAAGAAGCACCGGCUAACUACGUGCCAGCAGCCGCGGUAAUUC
rnacentral:rRNA from 1 species